rnacentral:lncRNA from 1 species
GUUUGCAUCGACUUACAUAUCUUUCUCUUGUAUUUACUCAGUUGACUUGGCUGAGCCAUCACUUGACAAAGAUCUGGUUUUAUGUUGAUAAGGUAUGUUAGGCUGUUCUCAAUUCAUAGUGAGCAAUAUUUGUAAUUUUUAUUCAGAGUCUAAACUUAUAAGUCUGUUCUCAAGAAAUCCAUAGUAUUGACUAAUUUUUAUUUGCUCCAGGUAAGUGCUUUGAAAGAUGUUGAUAUUCUCAUUGAUGCCAUGGAGAUUUUGUAAGUGUAGCAGAACUUGUUAUCUUAGUUGUCUUAAUAGCAUAACUAUCCUUGAUCUAUCCUAUCAAAUUCUAGAAACUUAUUGUAUCACUGAUAAGAAAAAAUGUUGAUUUUACUUCUGUGAGGCAGAGAAGGAAGAGUGUAUUAAUCAUUUGGUAACUACAUUGUUAUAACUAGUGUGUUUUUGAAUUCAUCUGACUUUUACCAUUGUCUUUUUUUUUUCUUCUAGAUUACAUACACCAGAUAGCAUUUCCAAGAAUUGUAUAAUUUGUCAGUGGAAUUGAUUCGGAGAG